rnacentral:ribozyme from 1 species
GCCCGACUAAAUCCUACCAUUACCUCCUCGUGGUGUCGGCCGGAAUUUGCAGUGUCUUUUUUUCAUAUACUAACAGAGAACG